GCCCUACGGGAGGCAGCAGUGGGGAAUAUUGCACAAUGGGGGAAACCCUGAUGCAGCGACGCCGCGUGAGUGAGGAAGUAUUUCGGUAUGUAAAGCUCUAUCAGCAGGGAAGAAAAUGACGGUACCUGACUAAGAAGCCCCGGCUAACUACGUGCCAGCAGCCGCGGUAAUACGUAGGGGGCAAGCGUUAUCCGGAUUUACUGGGUGUAAAGGGAGCGCAGGCGGCAGCGCAAGUCUGAUGUGAAAGCCCGGGGCCCAACCGCGGGACUGCAUUGGAAACUGCGCAGCUGGAGUGCCGGAGGGGG
rnacentral:rRNA from 1 species